ACGUUGCCUACUCCCUGACUGCACACGUGGUGACGAAGAAAAGCAAAGAAAACGGAAGAUGGCGCCUCCAUGUUGAACAUGCCUGGCUCCCAGAGAGAAGAAACAGUGACCUAGGACGGCAAUGAAACACAUUGAUCCUACCUUUGGAAUAUGGAUAGAAGAAGAAAAGUGGAUCAAAAGUGGAUUUUAGUUGUAAAUUCAGCCAUGACAGAAAUACCAUGAAUCCACUGAAUGCAUCCUUCAUCUAUAUCAAUAACACAUACAGUGUGAGCUGUCAAAUUAUGGCCAGAAGUGUGUAUAUGAAUACAAAAGUUAAUUUUUAAGUGACUAGCCUUAAGAGUUUUAGUCCGAGAAUGUGCAUAAUUAAAAACAAUGAGUAUUUUUAUCAGAAUAAUCUGAAAAAAAUUCUUAGAAUCAUUAUGAUAAAACCAGUCUCAUUUGUUUAAUGUCCUACAGCAUCACAAAUUGUCAUAUAACAUCAUAAUAAGGUUAACAAAAAAUAAAAUAUCAUUAAAGAAA
rnacentral:lncRNA from 1 species